rnacentral:rRNA from 1 species
AACUCUGAGCGGUGGAUCACUCGGCUCGUGUGUCGAUGAAGAGCGCAGCCAGCUGCGUGAACUAAUGUGAAUUAUCGACUUCUUGAACGCACAUUGCGGCCUCCGGCAUUCCGGAGGCCACGUCCGUCUCAGUGUCG